GACAGAGGGUGCAAACGUUGUUCGGAUUUACUGGGCGUAAAGCGCGUGUAGGCGGCUUCGUAAGUUGGAUGUGAAAUCCCACGGCUCAACCGUGGACGUGCAUCCAAAACUACGUCGCUGGAGUCUCGGAGAGGAAGGUGGAAUGCUUGGUGUAGAGGUGAAAUUCGUAGAUAUCAAGCAGAACACCUGCGGCGAAGGCGGCCUUCUGGACGAUGACUGACGCUGAGGUGCGAAAGCGUGGGGAGCAAACAGG
rnacentral:rRNA from 1 species